AGGCGCGGAGUGCGCGGGGAGGAAGGAGAGCGCGCCGCGGGGCUGGCGGAGCUCAGGGCGGAGGCCAAAAGCAGACGUGCGGAUUCCGCCCGGCAGGGUCUCCCCGAACCGGGAUGCUGCGCAACGCCGCCCUGCCCAGCAGGCAGCCCCGCAACUGGAGCGACCCCCGGCAGAAGUAAAGGUGGCCUUUCCCGCAGCCGCCGCUGGAGGACCCAAAGUUUUGCACGCUGCGUGCCCCUUCCUCCCUUGGCCCCAGUCACCCGCCGUGCGGCGCUCCCGAGGGAUCCCGGGGGCUUAGCGGGGACGAGAUCGGCUCUUCUGCACCCCUCCACUUCUACCCCACCCCCAGGGCAGGGCGGCGACACUAUCAUACCACCCCGUCUCCUCUCCUGGUGAGCCUUGGAACCCGUUAGCCACGCAGAUGCCUUCGGGAGCCAGAAGCAAAGGGGGAAAUGGACGUGGCUCCGAGAAGCAGACGCGCGGCACUUCUGCCUGCUUGGAAAUGGUGCCAUUUUUCAGCUUGUCACUUUUCUCCUUUUGAUCAUCUUUUCCAAAGAGCGUAGGUAUUUGGGACUUCUCCUCGCAGCCUUCUGCUUUGUGUCUUGCUUGAAGAAACUGCCCGUCCUCGAGGUUUUGUCCUUAGCACCACGUGCUCAGAACUACGAGGUCUGAGCUCUCCUCUGUGCCCAUCACGUGAGCGUUUCUUCCUGGUUUUGGCCCGCCGCGUUCUCAUUGCCCCACGGCACGGACUCAGACUCUUCCAUCUUCAUGUCAGUGUAGCGUGUGACCUGCGACAGCUGUCAUUGUGGAAGUAGGCCCUGUCAAGCAUCUUCUUGGGACAUCACCCCACCCCCUUUGAAUGUAUCCCAUAAACACAGGCCCAGUAGCCACAGCCAACAUGAGUCUCCUCAAAGGCUCUCUCAAGAUAUCGCUGGCCACAGAAAUGCCUCACUAAAGAGCGUUUGCCAGAGUCACUUCCUGCCUUUCUGAGGUGGUUGGCGCAUCCCUCUUACAUAGACAGCAAUUAUUGCAAAAGGAAAUUCCAAAGGAAAAAAAGGCAAGCAUAUAAAUGAUCAUCAACCUAGAAAAUGAAUGUUAUAAUUUUGAUGUGUUGUUAAUGAAUUGCUAUCCUCACAAUAUCUCUCUGCCUGUCAAUCGUGUUUAUAGAUGUUUAGAUCACCAUUCUGCAAACCAAGAUACUUUACUUACUGUGGUAAUCCAUAGCUGCAUAUAUGACCAUGAAUAUAAACAUACUAAAUAUUUUCACAUAUUUAAAUCUAUAUACAUCAUAGUUAAUGUAGGCUAAUAAAUGGCUUUUUAAACAA